ACAUGCUGGUGCACUGAGAAAAAGCAGAGUAGGUGUUAACACUGGGAAGGUAGGCAAACACAGAUGAUAAGAGGCUUUGACACCAGGCUUUGUACUCUUUAACUUGACAAGCUGUUGCAAUGAACAUACUGUGACAUUGAAGCAACGUAAGAGCAGGGCUUGUGACAGCUCUGAGCAAUGAAGUCCUUCCUCCAGGGUUGCACUGUCAGGGGGACAGCAAGUUUCCAGCCCUCUGGCCCUCUUCCAGCGGGGCUGAUAGGGCAGGUCUGUCCUUGCCCUGCAAAGUGGGUGCCUGCACAGGUGUAAAGGCACUGCCAGCUGAAAGAGAGCUGUCAGAGAAAAUGCAAUUAAUUCCUGACAGGCCACCUCUGGAAACCAUUAGGCUCAUGUGGUCUGCAGAUAUCUCUCUACAAGGCAUGAGACGAGGAAGGGUUUCAGACUGGCAGUGUAGCAACAUCAGCGAUGCACAGGUUGGCAAUGUAUGCUAAAUCUGAACACUGUUUUCUUCUCCAUGCACCAUCAUUAAACACCUGCUCCUGAAAUACCUGGAGCUUUAUCGGUUACCCUCAGCCUUGGCUCUAAAGCCUGCAGAGAGUAACUCUGGGCUGCACGAAGCGAAGGAAGGCGAGAGCAUCUCCGAGUGCCCCUGGCCCGUGGUGGAGGCAGCCGGGCGCUGCGAGGCCAGGGCCCUCCACACGGAGGCAGCUUCGGCUCAGGAGAGGAAGGCGAGAGCUUCUGCAGCCUGCUGGGUUAGCUCCUGCCUUUGCUGUUUCUGCAGGCUUGAGCUCUGCAAACAGUCCCAUUGCCUUGGCUGGAGUUAGCCCUGCUGGAGCUGAUGCGCCUGCACUGCAGCCCUGCGAGGCUCUGCUGGGCUCUAGCAGCCCGGGCAGCCUUACUAUAGAGCUGCCUGCCUCUGUCUGCCCCGCUGCUUUCCACCUCUCUUCAUCUGUCUAUGGGAUCUGAGAGUGGGAGGCAGGCCAACGUGCCCCACAGCUUGGUGGUAGCAGUUGUGUACCCCUCACAUCAAAGCCAACCCGAACGCCGCCUCCUUAUCUCGGGUCUCAGACUUUUUCAUAUCAUGGAUUGUGUUUGGAGAGGUGGAAAUUGAGGCUCCUGGCCCAAGAGAGUUCCUUUUUUGCCCCGUUGUCUGUCUGUCUCUGUGUAGGAGUUUCCUUUUGGCAGCUACAGCUCUUGGAAAUAAGAGAGUCCCUACUGCAGUAGGGAAUGAGCCAGUCCAUGUCCCCAAAACAAACAGCAUCUACCAUGUAUGAUUAAAACCGCUCCUCAAGUGAGGAAGGGAGAAUGGGGAAACUGCUGCAGGUAUUAUUCUCAGAGGAAACCGAAUAGCAGCCAAAAUAGCUGAGUCCUGCUGCUACCUGCCUACCCUGGGCAAGAAGCUGUGGGCAGAGGAGCAGGAGAAGGGGUAGAGGUGGCUGAGGGAGGCUUAGGUGGGGAUAUCCCAGCUUCCAAAGGUCUU